rnacentral:rRNA from 1 species
UACGUAGGUCCCGAGCGUUGUCCGGAUUUACUGGGCGUAAAGGGAGCGUAGGCGGACUUUUAAGUGAGAUGUGAAAUACUCGGGCUCAACUUGAGUACUGCAUUUCAAACUGGAAGUCUAGAGUGCAGGAGAGGAGAAUGGAAUUCCUAGUGUAGCGGUGAAAUGCGUAGAGAUUAGGAAGAACACCAGUGGCGAAGGCGAUUCUCUGGACUGUAACUGACGCUGAGGCUCGAAAGCGUGGGGAGCAAACAGG